UAGGCAGAUGGUAGAUUGAUGUCGCCCUCAACACUCAAAGUUGAGGACCGCAAAAAAUGUCUUUCAAAGUUGAGGGCCUAAAGAAAAAUAGGAAGUACUUUGUUAAAGUGAGCUACUAAGUGCAUUCAUUUAGGCAGCUUUGAUAUCACCCACAACUUCUUAGAUAAAUCUGCACUCGCACAGAUCAGCAAAUGUUGAUCCAUGCCCCCUAACAGUUUGUGUCCUGCGCAUCCGUCCACUUUGCACUGCUUUAGUUUUAACUCUUCAUGUCAUCCUAUCAAUAAUUCUGUCUCUGACUAUCGUACAAUAAUGCCUAGUAUAUCGAUACACUUUGCUGUCUAUAAAGAAGCUUUUUAGCAUUCCCUCUGUAACUUUUAAAACCAUAAAGAAGGCCAGAAAAACACUGAACUACCAGUCUUUUUUGAUUUCUGUCAGCAUGGAUCUUUUCAUUUUGGCUCAGCAUCUCUGAAGCUGCAUGGUAACUUCUAUGAAAACUGGAAACUUUGGAUUCAAAAGUUGGAGUUGUAUCCCACUGGAAUACAGAAAUGGAAUUGCAGAAAACAACAAAAGAGCCCAGUUUACAUCAUUACUGUACAUUACAAGCAACGAUUUAAGGAAGAAAAGGACAGCCUUCAUCCUCUCUCCAUUCCAGUGCUCUUCCUGUGUCUACGGACAAUCAGUCGGAAAUAACCCCUUAUUAGGUGAUGUUAUUGUAUCUGUUUGCUUAGGGGAAAAUCAUGGCAGUAGAGAAGCACAGGGGUGAACAACAGCAGGCACUGAAGGAAACUAGUGUGAAUGCAGUUGCUUACAUCCGCACAGAUCAUAUGGCAGAAAUUGUGGAAGUAGUAAGCUUGUCUUUUGAAAAUCAAUGUUGUUCUUCAGUUAUGCUCUAUGAUAGCACUGGAGCAUUGUAUUACCUUAAAUUAGAAGUAACAAUUAACCAAGUUGGUCAAGCAUUUCUUCUAAAUAACUGUGACUGUUCAGAUGGCAGUCCUCUCUUCUGCUGCAGAGCGAUCUGAUUCACUGCCACUGCUGCUCUGUUUACUGAAAUCCUGAAUGAGUAUGUACCAGGUUAUCUCAGAGAGUUAAUGUUAUGAGCUGUUAAUGAGCUUCUUCCUGUACUCUUGGAUUUGAUUUUCUCCAUGUCCAUGUGCAAACUGUACAACUCUGAGCAAGUCACUUUAUCAGACAGUGCUCCUGGAUUGGCUUUUAUUUUGCCCAGUGGGUAUA